rnacentral:snRNA from 1 species
CCUAGUACCCAAAAGAAAAAAAAAAUUGGAACUUUAGAGAGAAGAUUAAUAUAGACUCUGCUCAAGGACGACAUAAAUUCAUGAAGUAUUCCAUUUCUUU